GCUUACGGCCACACCGCUGGUUUCACGCCCGAUCGCUUUGAUCUCGGAAGCUAAGAUAGGUUGGGCCUGGUUAGUACUUGGAGGGGAGACCGCCUGGGAAUACCAGGUGCUCUAAGCU
rnacentral:rRNA from 1 species